rnacentral:rRNA from 1 species
UGCAGUAGAACGCUGAAGACUUUAGCUUGCUAAAGUUGGAAGAGUUGCGAACGGGUGAGUAACGCGUAGGUAACCUGCCUACUAGCGGGGGAUAACUAUUGGAAACGAUAGCUAAUACCGCAUAACAGCAUUUAACACAUGUUAGAUGCUUGAAAGGAGCAAUUGCUUCACUAGUAGAUGGACCUGCGUUGUAUUAGCUAGUUGGUGAGGUAACGGCUCACCAAGGCGACGAUACAUAGCCGACCUGAGAGGGUGAUCGGCCACACUGGGACUGAGACACGGCCCAGACUCCUACGGGAGGCAGCAGUAGGGAAUCUUCGGCAAUGGGGGCAACCCUGACCGAGCAACGCCGCGUGAGUGAAGAAGG